UCUGCCCCUAGAGCUGUUGCAGAUGUUGCUGCUGUGUCACAUGCCACAGUAAGUGGCAGAGAGGAGAGACUAUGUAUAGGCUCUGUGUUCAGACUGCAAGCAUCUGAAUGAUUAGUAGCCUACCUUU